GACGAACGCUGGCGGCGUGCUUAACACAUGCAAGUCGAACGGUGAAGGGACCGGUUUUUGCUGGUUCUGGAUGAGUGGCGCACGGGUGAGUAACACGUGAGUAACCUGCCCCCUUCUUCUGGAUAACCGCAUGAAAGUGUGGCUAAUACGGGAUAUUCUGCGCCUGCUGCAUGGUGGGUGUGGGAAAGAUAUUGUUUCGGUGGGGGAUGGGCUCGCGGCCUAUCAGCUUGUUGGUGGGGUGAUGGCCUACCAAGGCGGUGACGGGUAGCCGGCCUGAGAGGGUGGACGGUCACACUGGGACUGAGACACGGCCCAGACUCCUACGGGAGGCAGCAGUGGGGAAUAUUGCAUAAUGGGCGCAAGCCUGAUGCAGCGACGCCGCGUGAGGGAUGGAGGCCUUCGGGUUGUAAACCUCUUUCGCCAGUGAAGCAGGCCUGUCCCUUUUGUGGGUGGGUUGACGGUAGCUGGAUAAGAAGCGCCGGCUAACUACGUG
rnacentral:rRNA from 1 species